rnacentral:lncRNA from 1 species
CUUCAUUGUUUACAUCCAGAUGUUUGAAUCGGAUGUAAUUUUACCCCAGGCAUGACCGAUCCAUAUUAAUGUACUGUAAUUAAUAUCAAACAACAACAAUUAUGAUCUAGUGCAAAACUUUGAUUUUACUUUGAUUUUAAGGGAAGUGAAAAUACAUAUCUGAAACACGGAUGUUUAAUAGAUGAUAGAUUUUUACGUAUGACAAGGAAAAAAUAAACAACAAUAACUCAUCAACAGUAAAG